rnacentral:lncRNA from 1 species
GCCGAUGCGACCGGUCCCUGGCUGAGGGGACCGGUCCCCGAGCGCGACACCCGCGAGAGAAAGCCUAAAUUUGGCUAAGUCCUGAGGUUCCCCUUUCGGGAACCGGUCUCUUAGGAGAGACCGGUCCGAGAGACCGAUCUCCCAGGGACCGGUCCCUCAGGUGAGGACCGGUUCCCGAACGCGAGAGGUCCCUAGACUGCAGGAAGAGCUCUCGGGGAUCGGUCCCAAGUCGGGGAGAUCGGUCCCUCCGCGCGAAAACUGCCCAGUUGGAGCUGUGCAAGGGAUGAAAAGUUGAGGGGUCUAAAUGCAAAAUGGCCUUUAUUAGAGUGGGCUGAGCCCUCUCUCUCCCUCACACUCUCUCAUUCCACUCUCCCUCACUCCCAUUUCUCUCUUGCUCCUUCUCUCUCUAGAAAGGAAAGAAGGAGAAGAAAAACAAGAAGGAGAGGAAGGAAAAGAAGAAGAAGAAGAAGGAGAUCAAGAGGAAGGCUUUGAGCACCUCCAUCUCCCUCUCCUCUUUCCAUUGGUGUAGCUCUUGAGGUAAGCUACUGAACCCUAGCUUUGUAAACUUAGGGUUUUUGGGUUUUUAUGCUUUGGAAUGGGUCAAAUGGAUCUCAAGCAUGCUUCUAAGUAGAUCAAUCCCAUGAAUCUAAGGUUCUAUUGGUGGUUUGCUAUAUGUGCAACCUAGGGCUCCAAAUGGGGGCAUUUUGUAAAGUAUGAGAUUGAUCUCAUUUGAGGCCUUGUAAACCUCAUCGAUAGGUGCCCAAACGCGGGGGCGAAGUCGACUUCGCGAUUCGUCGAGCGGGCUUAGAGCAACCGGCGAAUUACGGUCGUUACGGCGUUAUCUUGGACCAAGGGAGGCUAACGCCUUUUUGUAAAGCUCGCCGAGGAGCGUUUCUAGAGCCUCUACGUUGGUAAAAGGUUGGGGGUGUCAUCCGAAACUUU